CUCCGCUUUCUCCUCCAUCGUGGGUUUAUCAAAGAUGAAACUUUCUCAUAACCUUUCUCUUCCUAAUUUUUCUGAUUUUCUUUUUCAUAUAUCCUUAAACAUAUUGAAGCUAAGAAACUAUGGAUAGAUCUGGAGGCGAAAUCGGUAAAGGUUUUUGUGAUUUCGAUUCAAUCAUCUUAGUUUUUAUGAACUUCAAUUAAAUCGAGGAUUUUCAUCUAUGGGCCUUUAAUCUUUCUUUAUAACUAAUUCGAAUUUAAGGAUUUCAAUACUUUGAAUUUUGCAUUCAAAAGAAGAUAAAAUCCCAAAAUCAAGGCUGCCAUAACCCUUAAUUGAUUAAAUUCUCCGAAUCCUUUGAUUUGAAAUGGUGAUUUGAGUUCUGGUAGGAUUUGGAUAAGACCCUUAAAUUCACAACCUUCAAAAUCAGAUUAACCCUCACGUUCCACCACCGGCUCCUCAUACCCUAAACCAGUUCAUACCAUCUACAGAAAAAUCUAGUUAUCUCAGUAAUGAUGGUUGGAGCUUAUCAUGCUCCCAUUCUAAAUAAUCAUGUUUUCUGUAUUAGGAAGAAGGUUAAAGAAGAUACUAAGGAGCAUAGGCAAAAAAACAAGUAGUCAAUUAUCGAGGACUUAUGGAGUCGCAGGGUGGUGCAGGUACCUGAAGUGAUGGAAAAUUGGUCAUUGUAGGAAGGAAAAGUGACAGUGUGAUGGCAGUUACUAUCAAGUUUGGCACAAGAGUUGAUGAUCUGCUUGUAUAAAAGGAAUAGUUUAUUGAAGUCAGAGUUUCUGAUGCAACAAACGAAUUGCAUGCUGAUAGAAAAAAUCAGAGAUAUGAUGCGCAGUUGUUAUAGACGUAAGGAAUUCUGCUAGUGAUGUUUAUGAAAUGCUUAUUUCUUAUAAUAUUCGCAUGGAUUUGCAGUUGGGUUGCGGGUUGAGCAUCCUCAAGAACUAAUAAACAAUAUCCAGCCUCUUCAAAAGGACCAGCUGGUCAUCUCCUAGCUCACAGAAGUUGUGAAAGCAAGAAUCCCGAAGCCCAUGUUCUAAGCAUUUGUCUUGAUCUCACAGUAGUUUUUAUUAUAUUUUUUAUAUCUUUGAUCCAAGUUUUAUGCUUCCGCUACGUUAAGAUACCUACCAAUACAAUGGAUCCGGUUCUAUU